CUUUGUGAUGAAACGGCACUGGGCUCCGAGUACUUUAGACGGUACAUUUAGGAUGAGCGAUAACGCCUUUUUGCGGCAGGCCUAGAAAACCUCGCCCACUGAUU
rnacentral:snoRNA from 1 species